rnacentral:misc_RNA from 1 species
GAUGAAGAACGUAGCGAAAUGCGAUAAGUAAUGUGAAUUGCAGAAUUCAGUGAAUCAUCGAAUCUUUGAACGCACAUUGCGCCCCUUGGUAUUCCGAGGGGCAUGCCUGUUCGAGCGUCAUUAUAACCCCUCAAGCUCAGCUUGGUGUUGGGGCCUGCUGCACUGGCAGCCCUUAAAAUCAGUGGCGGCGCCAUCUGGCUCUAAGCGUAGUAAUUCUUCUCGCUAUGGAGUCCUGGUGGAUGCUUGCCAUCAACCCCCAAUUUUUCUAUGGUUGACAUCGGAUCAGGUAGGGAUACCCGCUGAACUUAAGCAUAUCAAUAAGCGGAGGA